rnacentral:rRNA from 1 species
GACGAACGCUGGCGGCGUGCCUAAUACAUGCAAGUAGAACGCUGAAGGAGGAGCUUGCUUCUCUGGAUGAGUUGCGAACGGGUGAGUAAUGCGUAGGUAACCUGCCUGGUAGCGGGGGAUAACUAUUGGAAACGAUAGCUAAUACCGCAUAAUAGUAGAUGUUGCAUGACAUUUACUUAAAAGGUGCAAUUGCAUCACUACCAGAUGGACCUGCGUUGUAUUAGCUAGUUGGUGGGGUAACGGCUCACCAAGGCGACGAUACAUAGCCGACCUGAGAGGGUGAUCGGCCACACUGGGACUGAGACACGGCCCAGACUCCUACGGGAGGCAGCAGUAGGGAAUCUUCGGCAAUGGACGAAAGUCUGACCGAGCAACGCCGCGUGAGUGAAGAAGGUUUUCGGAUCGUAAAGCUCUGUUGUAAGAGAAGAACGAGUGUGAGAGUGGAAAGUUCACACUGUGACGGUAUCUUACCAGAAAGGGACGGCUAACUACGUG